AUGGCGAUCAGCUUCGGUUGCUCGGCAAGUACAACGACAAAGCUGACAUGGAUCCUGGCGCUGCUGCUCAUCCUGGUCACCAUGAUCCAAGUCCAUGGCCAGUCUUCUACCUCUGGGUAUGUAAACAUCGAUUGUGGAUUCACAAACAGUAGUCCCUACAACGACACCCUCACAGGACUCGUGUUCCUUCCUGACCUUGAAUUUGUCGAUGGCGGUGCGAGCAACAAUAUUUCAGCAGCACUCAUGGCUGAUGCCGUAUAUGAGAACCAAAAGGUCUUGAGGAGCUUCUCUCAUGGCUCGCGGAAUUGCUACACGCUGCCAUCCGCCGCUGGUAAAAAGUUUUUGCUGAGGGCUAUGUUUACCUACGGGAACUACGAUGGGCUGAACCGGACUACGGAUGGGUCUCUGUUUCUGUUUGGACUCCAUAUCGGUGUCAAUUUCUGGGAGGCGGUAAACUUGACAAAUACGGAUCCAUCAAGCACAAUAUGGAAGGAGGUGCUCACCGUUGCUCCGGCCAACAACCUGUCGGUCUGUCUGAUAAACUUCGGUACAGGGACUCCGUUCGUGUCUUCGUUGGAGCUGAGGCCACUUGAAGAUUUGAUGUAUCCUUUCGUGAAUACUUCGGUGUCAAUCAGCUACUUUAGACGAAUCAGAUUUGGUCAAUCCACUGAAUUUAUCACAAGAUAUCCAUUGGACCCGUACGACCGGUUCUGGGAGGGCUGGUCUUUCUCCUACAACGCCUACCCCUGGAUCGCCCUAAACACUAGCAAUCAAGUAAGGCCGCUACCCGGUGACAAAGCCUUCCAGGUACCGGAGGGCAUCCUCCGGCGGGCCUCAACCCUAGACGCAAAUUUCUCCUUCUUCGAGAUCAAUGUGACAGUGGGUCCCAACCUGGACACCAAGAACCUGCAGCUUCUUCCCAUCUUCCAUUUUGCUGAGAUCAACAGCAGCAACCCGAGCAGGAGAUUUGACAUCUACAGCGACAACGACUUGCUAUUCUCAGACUUCUCACCGUCACGAUUCCAGGUGGACAGCAUGCACCAGAAUGGGCGGUUUUUGAACAACCCUGCUGCGAUCUUCCGCCUGAACAGGACACGCAGAUCGAGGCUCCCACCGCUCAUCAACGCGUUUGAGGUGUACUCGCUCGUUCGGAUGGAUAACCUCACCACUGACUCCGACGAUGUCAUUUACAUGAAGGAAGUCAAGAAACACUACAAUUUGGCACGAAUAAACUGGAAUGGAGAUCCAUGCUCCCCAAGAGAGUAUUCGUGGGAAGGUUUGACUUGCGACUACUCUAAGAGCAACCAGAAUCCGAUGAUUGUCGCAGUAAAUCUGUCUACCAGCGGACUGAAAGGUGGAUUAGUCAUAUCAUUCAUGAACAUGGUAUCACUGGAAAACUUGGAUUUAUCACACAACAAUUUGACAGGAGCUAUUCCAGACUACCAAAUAAAGUCACUCAAAGUUCUCGAUUUGUCAUAUAACCAGCUUGAUGGGCCAAUCCCGGAUUCUAUUCUUCAAAGAUCUCAGGCUGGUCUGCUUGACUUAAGAUUAGAAGGCAAUCCCAUAUGCUCAAAAGUCAAAGAUACGUACUGUUCAAAUAAGAAGAAGAAGACCACAUCUACUGUGCUCAUCGCAGUGAUAGUUCCUGUGGUACUGGUAUCCCUCCUAGUAGUGAUGGGCAUACUCUGGAAGUUUUACUGGAAAGGGAAGUCAGGAGACGAUGAAGAUUAUGCUAUGUAUGAAGAGGAAACUCCCCUACAUAUUGAUAUCAGACGGUUCACAUACGCAGAGCUGAAAGUCAUAACUAACAACUUCCAAUCAAUCAUCGGAAAAGGAGGUUUUGGUAUGGUUUAUCAUGGCACACUGGAAAAUGGUGAUGAGGUAGCUGUUAAGGUGCUUAUGGAGACAUCAAUAGCAGAAUCAACAGACUUCCUCCCUGAGGUGCAAACUUUGUCCAAAGUUCAUCACAAGAAUCUCGUGACUUUGCAAGGAUAUUGCCAGAACAAGAAGUGCCUUGCACUCGUUUAUGAUUUCAUGCCCAGAGGAAAUCUUCAACAGCUUCUAAAAGGAGGAGAUGAUUAUAGUUUGACUUGGGAACAGCGACUUUAUAUUGCCCUUGAUGCUGCACAAGGACUGGAGUAUCUACACGAGUCAUGCACCCCAUCAAUAGUGCACAGAGAUGUGAAGACCCCAAACAUCCUGCUGGACAAGAAUUUCGUGGGGGUCAUAUCUGAUUUUGGGCUUUCACGGGCCUUUAAUGAUGCUCACACACACAUAUCUACUGUUGCUGCUGGCACUCUUGGCUACCUCGACCCUGAGUACCAUGCAACUUUCCAACUCACUGUCAAGACAGAUGUUUACAGCUUCGGAAUCGUGCUCUUGGAGAUCAUCACCGGCCAAUCCCCAGUAUUUAUGGACCCUCAAACCGUCCACCUACCGAAUUGGGUGCGGCAAAAGAUAGCUAAAGGCAGCAUUCGUGAUGUUGUAGACAAGAAGCUGCUGGAUCAAUACGAUGCCAGUUCCCUGCAGGGUGCGGUGGACCUUGCCCUGAACUGCGUCGAAAAUGCAGCCAUCGACAGGCCCACCAUGACAGAGGUUGUUUCAAGGCUCAAAACGUGGUUGCCAGCGGUUUCAAGCGACAAGCAGUCUGCUUCUGGGACUCCUCGACGCAAGUACUCCCUGAAUACUGAAAUGCCAAAGCAGUUCCAGUUGAUGAUUUCAGGAAAUCAUAAGCCACAGCUACGAAAGGGCAGAAACGCAAAGCACGGGACAUACCUAACCCUCGUCGACCGCCGUGGGCAGCUCCUCGACUGGGCGAGCGCGCUGCAAUGCAUCCUCCAUCUCCGCGACUGCGGCGGCGGCCUGGUGGGAGUGCGGGGCACCGGGAUGGCCUCUAGUCGCCCGCCGCGGGCAGUUUCUCGAAUCGGCGGCGGUGCGCUGCAGUGUGCAGUGGCUCCAUGUCCCGCGACUGUAGUGGUGGGGACUACUAGGAUCUGA
rnacentral:rRNA from 1 species